CUCAUUUUGGGUGAGGAACCUAAAGUUUCAGUCCCUAACACCAUACCAGGUGUGUCUGGCCUAAAUCCUGUGAUCCAGCCUUAAAAGGUCGGGCUCUGAGGGCCAGCCUAGCAGAGAUGAGCACAAUGGUGAAUUCUAAUGACUGUGGGCUCCACUCCCAUCAGAGAGUUGGAAGCACGUGGCAUGUCCCUGCAACCCAGCUCUGUGGACGUGGCAUGUCCCUGCAACCCAGCUCUGUGGACGUGGUAUGUCCCUGCGAUCCAGCUGACCCUGCUGCUCACUGAGCGAGGUCAGAGCAGCCCAAGCAUGUAGCCUUGGCAGAUUUAAGCCCCUACCCUUUCUUUCCUCUCGUGGCUUAACCGAAGAGAAUGAGGAAACAAGGAAUGAAUUUAGGAGGAGGUGGCUGACCCCCAUUCCCUAGCUGCCACGCAGACUGUUCCAGCCGGAGGGAGGAUGAGACCCAGCAAGGUGAUGAACCUGCAGGAAGAAGACACAACAGCUGUGCCUUCCCUCAUCUCAGGACACCGAAACAAGACGCCGAGAAAACGGGCCUGUGAAAAGCAAACCGCUGCAUACUUACGUAGAAAAACCUUUAACAAUUUUAAGGAUGGAGAAUGAUGCUGUAAGAAUAAAACUAAUGAAAAAAGAGAAAAAAUAUAAAGGAAAAUAUUAAUGGAUUUCACUUAACUUGUCAUAAUUAUUUUUAAAAUCUUAAAGCAACCAAAAUACUGAGGAAGAUGUCUGCAGCUGAUAUGACUCAGAAUUAAUAUUCUUUAUAUACAUAAUAAACUUUAAAAAUUAGUAAGAACCUGGCUGGG
rnacentral:lncRNA from 10 species